AAAAUCUUUUUCAGGUGGAAAUGAUAUCGUUGAACAGUCAAGCAUUGUACAUGAAGAGGUCGUCCAUGAGGAAGUUAUCACAGAAACAGCCGUCAUGUCCGAUUCUUCUGUAGGCUGCGAGUCAGAGAUGAAAAGUGACGUUGAACUUUCAAGCUAUGAAGCUUUUAUUCCAGAACCUUCUGCUGAAGAAACCCCCACCCAGAAUAAGGAACCUAUCAAAUCACAGACAACUGAAGAUCAUCCUCGUCCCAUUCAACAUGAGACACAGGUUCCACCAAGUAAAAGAGGUCGAUUCUCCAAACCCAAACCCAAUAUUGGUCAAGAUCUGAGAACCAGACAGCAGCAAACCUGUCCAGAACUUGUCACAGGUUCUUUUGGGACCUCUAAGUGUCCAUCUUCCACAGAACAGGAUAGAAAUGCAGCACAACCCAUGCAAGAAGACUGUGUUCCUGUGGAUCACCUGCCAGACUCCUCUACCGUCCACCCUGAGGUACUACAGCCGGAUCCAUCAUCUGAAAGAAGAGAAGACAGUCCCAAAGUCAUCCCUGAAACAGUGACUAAAGAAGAUAAUGGAUCUGCCUCAUCUUUGAAAAGAAAGAAUGAUGAUAUAAUCACAGAGGAAAAUAUAAAAGAACAAGAAGGGGCGAGAUUAGAACCACAGCUGACUAAAAGUGUGAGUGAGUCUCAGAGCACAUCAGAUGAGCCCUCUAAACCUGUCAGGAGGUGCCGCGGACCCAAACCUAAACCAAACCUGAUUCAGACAUCCAGGCGCACACAGACACAACACAGCACCACAUCAACCACAACAGUAUUAAAUCAAAAGCCGCCUGCUGCCGAGUCUUCCACGAACACUUUCACUAAAAGUCCUGAAGAGGGCGCGGUAGUUACCACAGAACUUGAUGUAUUCACAAGCACAGCUCAACAAGUGGUGACAUCGAGCAUUGAAUCAGCACAGACCGUCAAAGAUGUCACCCCGCCAGUUGUUUCUGAAAACAAGUCCAGACAGAAAACUGUAGUCAUGCUGGAUGAGAACCAUAGAACCAAUCCUGAGGAAGUUUUUGAAGACAGCACUGUGAAUCGUUUUGGAUGUGAAUCAGAAGACACAUCUGCUGAGCCCAUGCCCCAGGAACCUGUGUUUAUACUGUCUCUCACAGAAAUCCCACCCACCUUAGAUGAGGGGGUGGGCUUUCGUACAGAGCCCCUCCCACCUGCAGCAGCGCCCGAGUCGCAUUCUCAUGGUCAAAGUGCUAAUGAGAGCAGGGAGGUAUCUCACCUUCUGAUCACAGAUGCUUUAGUUCCUGUGUCAGAGGAUGAGGAAAAGAAAAGUGAAUGGAUGGUUGUGGGCAAAUCAGUGAAAGGAGAAUUGAAACGCAAGACACCAGCCUCCACAUCUCAGGGGAGUACCAUAGAUGAGAGUCAGGCAGAACAUCAUGUGGAAGGAUUGGAAAGCCUUGUAGCAGAGGGGACUGAUGAUAUGGAACAUCUGGAGAAGAAAAGAAAACUACCUGAAAGAACAAGGAGAGCAAAGCUGCCAGUUAAACCCAUCCCAGUUUCAAGGAGAAAUGCUCAAGGUGUUGAUGCUAAAGAGGACACAGCAGCGCUUUCUUUAAAACAAACUACCUCAUUACCCAUUUCAACACAAGAGACGAGAUCAGUUCCAGAGCAAACUGUGCCUGCUGUCAUUUCAUCAACCAACAACUCAAUAUCAGCCACAAUCUCAGACAGAGGAGCAACUACAGAUCAUUCUGCAACCAGCGACAAUACUCGUUCGCCUGUCCCUGAAGCGUCUGUCCAGGAGGGUCCCUCCCAAGGCAUCAUGGGAAAAGUGGACCUCUCAGGCAAAGAGACAGUUGAGUUAGCAAGUGGAUCAGACUUGCAAGGUGUCAGUCAAAUCACGCCUAUUGCCACAAGUGGGCCGCUUACAAGACCUGGUAGAAGACCCAAGGGGUUCCUGUCCUUCAUUUCUUGUAAGAGUACACAAGGACCCCCAGCAGCUUAUCGAGGGACCAAACCAGGCCCCCCAAAACCAGCAGUCAACACCGCACGUCUUGAGAGAAAACGGAUAGCGGCUGGUCCUGUUACCACUGCAACCAUCCCUGGAGUAAAGCGGCCCUCACCGACCCCUGCUUUCACCACUGCGUCUGUCAUCGAGGUAUCAUACGGUCAGAUAUUGCAGUACUUAUGGCCACUUUGUAUAUUUGUAUUAGUAAAACUGGAUUCGAUCUUUCUUCACUCAGCAGAACUCAGAUGAAGAACCCACAAGUGUCUCGAAGUAUUUUUUCAGUGACAUCUUUACUGAAGUUGAUGAACUAGAAGACAUGGAUUAAGGUCAAAGGUUGGAAUAACGAUCCAGUCACAAUUAACCAAACAGUCAGAAAUAUAGUUUGACAUCAGGCGGGUGUAUAGACAUGUGAAUAUGUGAAGUUUUUACCAAGACAUUUUACAAAGAAGAACCACAACUGAAGAGAUGCAGUGAAAACGUA
ensembl:lncRNA